rfam:Citrus sinensis cultivar Ridge Pineapple sweet orange scaffold01265_contig_3, whole genome shotgun sequence.
AUACCCUGAUGAGGACAUCUUCUGAGUAGUUCAUUAAAUCUUUCCCAUGCAUUAUAUAAGCUUUCAUCUUCAAGUUGAUGAAAAGAUACAAUCUCAUUCCUCAACUU